rnacentral:rRNA from 1 species
UACGUAGGGGGCAAGCGUUGUCCGGAAUCAUUGGGCGUAAAGCGCGUGUAGGCGGCUCGAUAAGUCUGCUGUGAAAGUCCAAGGCUCAACCUUGGGAUGCCGGUGGAUACUGUCGAGCUCGAGUCCGGAAGAGGAGUGUGGAAUUCCUGGUGUAGCGGUGAAAUGCGCAGAUAUCAGGAGGAACACCUAUUGCGAAGGCAGCUCGCUGGGACGUAACUGACGCUGAGACGCGAAAGCGUGGGGAGCAAACAGG